AUGGCGACGGCGGUCACGGCGUCCGCCACCGCGGCGACCCGCUUCACGCGCCUGGCGGGCAUCGGCCUCCGGCGCAGCAGCUGCCGCCCCCGCACCGCCGUCCGCUUCCAGCGCCCGGGGCUCACCACCACCGCGCUCCUCAGGCCCACCGAGCUCAAGCCCAAGGACCAGGGCCAGCCCGAGACGCUCGACUACCGCGUCUUCCUCGUCGACGGCGGCGGCCGCAAGGUGUCCCCGUGGCACGACGUGCCGCUCCGCGCCGGGGACGGGGCGUUCCACUUCAUCGUGGAGAUCCCCAAGGAGAGCAGCGCCAAGAUGGAGGUCGCCACCGACGAGGCCUACACCCCCAUCAAGCAGGACACCAAGAAGGGCAACCUUCGUUACUACCCGUACAACAUCAACUGGAACUACGGGUUACUUCCCCAGACAUGGGAGGACCCGACAGCUGCAAAUGCUGAUGUUGAAGGAGCACUUGGAGACAAUGAUCCUGUUGAUGUUGUCGAGAUUGGUGAAAGACGGGCCAAUAUUGGGGAUGUUCUUAGGGUGAAACCAUUGGCAGCUUUAGCAAUGAUUGACGAGGGAGAGCUUGACUGGAAAAUUGUGGCCAUCUCUCUGGAUGAUCCCAAAGCAUCUCUUGUGAAUGAUGUAGAUGAUGUCGAGGAGCAUUUUCCGGGAACAUUGACUGCCAUCAGAGACUGGUUCAGAGACUACAAGAUACCAGACGGAAAGCCCGCCAACAGGUUUGGUCUCGGCAACAAGCCCACAAGCAAGGAAUAUGCCCUGAAGGUGAUAGAAGAAACCAACGAGUCAUGGGAGAAAUUGGUGAAGAGGAAAAUCCCGGCGGGAGAGCUAUCGCUAGCGUAG
rnacentral:rRNA from 1 species